rnacentral:rRNA from 1 species
GACGAACGCUGGCGGCGUGCUUAACACAUGCAAGUCGAACGGAAAGGCCCUGCUUUUGUGGGGUGCUCGAGUGGCGAACGGGUGAGUAACACGUGAGUAACCUGCCCUUGACUUUGGGAUAACUUCAGGAAACUGGGGCUAAUACCGGAUAGGAGCUCCUGCUGCAUGGUGGGGGUUGGAAAGUUUCGGCGGUUGGGGAUGGGCUCGCGGCUUAUCAGCUUGUUGGUGGGGUAGUGGCUUACCAAGGCUUUGACGGGUAGCCGGCCUGAGAGGGUGACCGGCCACAUUGGGACUGAGAUGCGGCCCAGAAUCCAACGGGAGGCAGCAGUGGGGAAUAUUGCACGAUGGGCGGAAGCCUGCUGCAGCAACGCCGCGUGCGGGAUGACGGCCUUCGGGUUGUAAACCGCUUUCGCCUGUGACGAAGCGUGAGUGACGGUAAUGGGUACCGAAGCACCGGCUAACUACGUG